rnacentral:rRNA from 1 species
UACGAAAGGAGCAAGUGUUAUUCAGAUUAACUGGGCGUAAAGGGCACGUAGGUGGUUUGUUUAUGUGUAUUAUUAAAUUAUAAAGCAUAACUUUAUAAUGUAGUAUAAACAGCAAAACUAGAGUUAGGUAGAGAGUAGUAGAAAUUUCUAAUGUAAAGGUGAAAUUUGAUAAAAUUAAGAGAGAAUAACCAAUGGCGUAAGCAACUACUUGGACCUUAG